GACGAACGCUGGCGGCGUGCUUAACACAUGCAAGUCGAACGGAAAGGCCCUUCGGGGUACUCGAGUGGCGAACGGGUGAGUAACACGUGGGUGAUCUGCCCUGCACUUUGGGAUAAGCCUGGGAAACUGGGUCUAAUACCGAAUAGGACCACGCGCUUCAUGUUUUGUGUUUGGAAGCUUUUGCGGUGUGGGAUGGGCCCGCGGCCUAUCAGCUUGUUGGUGGGGUAAUGGCCUACCAAGGCGACGACGGGUAGCCGGCCUGAGAGGGUGACCGGCCACACUGGGACUGAGAUACGGCCCAGACUCCUACGGGAGGCAGCAGUGGGGAAUAUUGCACAAUGGGCGCAAGCCUGAUGCAGCGACGCCGCGUGAGGGAUGACGGCCUUCGGGUUGUAAACCUCUUUCAAUAGGGAAGAAGCGAAAGUGACGGUACCUAUAGAAGAAGCACCGGCCAACUACGUG
rnacentral:rRNA from 1 species